AGAUUUCUGCAAUGUGCUACAUGUGAAACUUCCUCCUUAUCCUAUAGUUGAUUCUCUAUGCCAUGAACUUUUUAUGUAGAGGCACACAACCAAUAAAAAGGUUUGUGCAUCAAAACUAAAUAUCUAUUGUCCCCUACUCUCAAAAGAUUUCUGCAAUACGCUACUUCAAACUUCCCUCUCCAUUAUGAUUCUCUACGCCAUGAACUGUUUCUAUAAAGAGGCACAC